GAUGUCGGUUCGUCACAUCCUGGGGCUGGAGAAGGUCCCAAGGGUUCGGCUGUUCGCCGAUUAAAGUGGCACGUGAACUGGGUUCAGAACGUCGCAAGACAGUUCGGUCCCUAUCUGUGGUGGGCGUCAGGAGAUUGAGAGGACAUGACCUUAGUACGAGAGGACCGGGUCGUACGUACCGCUGGUGUAUCAGUUGUGCCGCCAGGCGCAGUGCUGAGUAGCUAUGUACGGACAGGAUAAACGCUGAAAGCAUCUAAGCGUGAAACCUACCUCAAGAUGAGUCUCCUUUUAAGGGCCGUCAAAGACUAUGACGUUGAUAGGCUACAGGUGUAAAGCUGGUGACAGCAAAGCCGAGUAGUACUAAUUGCCCGUACGCUUUAAUUUU
rnacentral:rRNA from 1 species